CGAGAAAGUGGAGCAAUCCAUGAGUACAGUGGCGUACGGGUGAGUAACACGUGGGUAAUCUACCUCUUAGUGUGGAAUAACCCUGGGAAACCGGGGCUAAUACCGCAUAAGCUCGAGAGAGGAAAGCAGCAAUGCGCUGAGAGAGGAGCCCGCGGCCGAUUAGCUAGUUGGCAGGGUAAAAGCCUACCAAGGCAAAGAUCGGUAGCCGGCCUGAGAGGGCACACGGCCACACUGGCACUGAAACACGGGCCAGACUCCUACGGGAGGCAGCAGUGGGGAAUCUUGCACAAUGGGGGAAACCCUGAUGCAGCGACGCCGCGUGAGCGAUGAAGCCCUUCGGGGUGUAAAGCUCUUUCGGCAGGGAAGAUUAUGACGGUACCUGCAGAAGCAGCUGCGGCUAACUACGUGCCAGCAGCCGCGGUAAUACGUAGGCAGCGAGCGUUGUUCGGAGUUACUGGGCGUAAAGGGUGUGUAGGCGGUUGUUUAAGUUUGGUGUGAAAUCUCCCGGCUCAACUGGGAGGGUGCGCCGAAUACUGAAUGACUCGAGUGCGGGAGAGGAAAGUGGAAUUCCUGGUGUAGCGGUGAAAUGCGUAGAUAUCAGGAGGAACACCGGUGGUGUAGACGGCUUUCUGGACCGUAACUGACGCUGAGACACGAAAGCGUGGGUAGCAAACAGGAUUAGAUACCCUGGUAGUCCACGCCCUAAACGAUGCAUAUUUGGUGUGGGCAGUUCAUUCUGUCCGUGCCGGAGCUAACGCGUUAAAUAUGCCGCCUGGGGAGUACAGUCGCAAGGCUGAAACUCAAAGGAAUUGACGGGGGCCCGCACAAGCGGUGGA
rnacentral:rRNA from 1 species